UUUAAAUGUUUGAAUUUAAGUAUUUUUACAGAACUCAACUGUCCAAGUUUUUAAACCAAAACAGUUCUGCUUUAUUAUUCAGUAGAAAUGCAGCCUGGAGCAACUUGCUAAAGCAACAAUGUUCCUGCACCGGUACAGCGUGCAUCAUGGUUCCAAGAGAAAAAGUUGCAGAAUCUUCUGUUAGCAGGUGAAAAUGCAGGUGAUUCAGCUAAGAGGAACUGACACAUCAAGUCAUCUAUGCCUCCAUGCCCUUAUUGCAAGCCAUAAAUGGCAGGGCAAAAUGACAUGAUUCUGUAACCCUGUCACCCCACAAUCUCCACAACUGGAUUGUUGCACAGAGGAGUGGCAAAGGUACGUCAUCGCCUGGGAACUUGAUAAUGGGUGAAGGAGCCGCAAAAGUUCCAAACAGAGCAAAACACUGAAACAAAAGAACUUGAAGAACUAAAUGCCUCCAGCUGGAAAGCCUGAACCUUUUCAUUUUCCGGAUCUACAGCCUGGUCAGAAUCAUCGAGGGCACCACUGGCUCGCUACUCUCAAAUCCACCAUAAUGCGAAGCUGAGUUUCCAUGCAUACUGUGAAAGCAGCCAGACAUCAAACCUGUGGGAAGGGAAACACAGAAGGAUUACAGUGAAUGCAUACACAGACUUAUUUUCAAGACAGUUAGAUAUAGAUCUGAUCUAUGUAGUAUAUGAUUGCUGGCUGUAACAAGUAAAUAGCUUGUACUUCACUGCUCACUCACAGUAUAGAGGGACCUAGAACCAGAGGAUCUCGCUGUAAGUCUGAUGAACACAUGACUGAAUCGUUAUUAUAAGGAUAAUGUAGUUUUAAUAGUCAUUAAUGGAGGAAAAAAGAAAAGGCAAAAAUGUCUUUGUUUAAAAAUCGUUUAAUUGUGAUUAUGGUACCCUGUGGUUUCUGGUACUAGAACAUUACCAGCAGAAUCUUCAACUUUGGUAAGUUGCACGAU